rnacentral:rRNA from 1 species
GUCCACGCCGUAACGAUGAAUACUAGGUGUCGGAAGCAUAGCUUUCGGUGCCGCCGCAACGCAUUAAGUAUUCCACCUGGGAGUACGUUCGCAAGAAUGAACUCAAGGAAUUGACGGGACCCGCACAAGCGGUGGAGCAUGUGGUUUAAUUCGAUGCAACGCGAAACCUUACCCACCUUUGACAUGUAUGGAAUCCUUUUAGAGAUAGAGGAGUGCUCGAAAGAGAGCCAUAACACAGGUGCUGCAUGGCUGUCGU